UGAUUAAAAAAUAGAAAAUUCUAUCUCCAAAGAGAUGAUGAGGCCGAAAAUUUGAAGCUUAGGGCUUUGGACUUUUGUUAUAAAUAGGGGUCUCACACACCCUUGAAGCUACUACCCUCACCCAAAGAUUACACUUGAGAAGCAUCAAACUCAAAUUCCUCUCUUGUUGAUCAAGCUUUCCUUCAAUCGGGUCAAGGGUUACUGGAAAUCUGAGGCUCUCAGAUGGGAUUCAAGCAUUCCCACGGCGGCUAUAGAGUAGCUAUAGCUCUUUUGUAUUACUUGUGGCAGGAGAUCUCUUUGAAUCUUUGAGAAAUGCAACCACAAGAACAGGAACCGAUGCAUCUUCCUCAAUUGCAAGAGCAGCACCUUCCUCCCUUUCAGCAUCCGCUACUACACCAGCAGCGACUUCCUUUCUUGCAGCAACAACAACUUCUGCAGCAGCAACUUAUACAACUUAUGCAACAACAGCUUACCUGGCUCCAACAACUCCAACAACACCUUACAUGGCUCCAACAACAACUGUCUCGGCUUCAAACAAAACAGCUCCAAGAGCCACCGCUCCAACAACAACUCUCCCAGGCCGAACAACAGGUCCAGCAGCUUCAACAACAACUCUUACAACUACAACUCUCCCAGGCUGAACAACAGGUCCAACAGCUUCCACAGGUACAACAACAACAACAACAAUUCCAACUACAACAACUACUACAACUCUCGCAGUUAGAACUUACAGAGCUCCAACAGCAUCUUUCGCAAAUGCAACUAGAACAAACACAGGAGCUCUGGCAACUUACCCAAGCUCAACAACAGCUUCAUCAGGAGCAGCCACAGAUGGCUGAGUUAAGAACGGGUCAAACCUAUGUUGAAGGUCCUGGGCGAUCAGAACGAGUUUCUGAGGAAGCAGGAUUUUUACCAUAAAACUUCUAAAUUCCGACUUUAAAUGUUAUCUAUCAAUUGAGCCCCAUUCACUUCAUUGACUAUGUAGUUAUUAUUUGGUGGCCUUUUAAAUUAACUCAAACUUUAUCA